rnacentral:snRNA from 1 species
AUUCUUACCUGGCAGGGGAGAUACCAUGAUCAGGAAGGUGGUUCRCCCAGGGCGAGGCUCGGCCAUUGCACUCCGGUUGUGCUGACCCCUGCGWAUUCCCCAAAUGUGGGAAUCUCGACUGCA